AAGACUAUUCUUUGAGGGAUCAUUUCUAUAGUCACUAGGUCAUUUCUGUAGUUCGUCACUAGAGCAGUUUCUCUGACUGGUUAGAGCACUCAAGACAAGGACAACAAGACAUAGCGCUCCCCACUGAGUGUGAAGGCAGCCGCUCCAGGCGCUGCUCUGUUGCACCUCCUCCUCUUCCUUUGGGAGAGGGAGAGAAUGCAGUCUGGGUGGA